rnacentral:rRNA from 1 species
GCGUACACAUGCAAGUCGAACGAUCCUUAGAUGCUUGCAUUUAAGGAGAGUGGCGGACGGGUGAGUAACAUGUGAGUAAUCUGCCCUCGAGUGAGGAAUAACUUCGCGAAAGCGGAGCUAAUACCGCAUAACACCAUGGAGCAUAAGCUCUCAUGGUCAAAGCCUUCGGGCGCUUGAGGAUGAGCUUGCACCUUAUUAGCUAGUUGGUGGGGUAACGGCCUACCAAGGUUAUGAUGAGUAGCCGGCCUGAGAGGGUGUACGGCCACACUGGAACUGCGACACGGUCCAGACUCCUACGGGAGGCAGCAGUGGGGAAUUUUGCGCAAUGGGGGAAACCCUGACGCAGCGACGCCGCGUGGAGGAUUAAGGCCUUCGGGUUGUAAACUCCUGUCAGAGGUGAAGAAUGCCCUUUUAGGGUUUGACGGUAACCUCAGAGGAAGUCCCGGCUAACUACGUGCCAGCAGCCGCGGUAAUACGUAGGGGACGAACGUUGCUCGGAAUUACUGGGCGUAAAGGGUGCGUAGGUGGCUGAGUAAGUCGUAGAUGAAAUCCCCGGGCUCAACUCGGGAACUGUCUCCGAAACUGCUCAGCUUGAGGAUGGUUGAGGAAAGCGGAAUUCCCGGUGGAGCGGUGAAAUGCGUAGAUAUCGGGAGGAACACCAGAGGCGAAGCGGCUUUCUGGGCCAUUCCUGACACUCAUGCACGAAAGCUAGGGGAGCGAACGGGAUUAGAUACCCCGGUAGUCCUAGCCGUAAACGAUGGGCACUAGAUGUUCC